UUAAGUCAAAGAGAGGAAUGUCCUGUGCUUUCCUCGUGGGUAGGGGCCCAUGGAGGUCUUAAAGGGAAAUGUUAAUGGGAAUAGCUGCUAAUAAUGGUCUGGAGAGAGAAGCACAAGAAAAGCAUUGGGAGGAGUUGGAGUGGGUUGUUAAGGGAAGGAGGUCAGCUGCAUAUUGGAAGUAUUGUAGCCAGGAGAGAGCAGCUUGUAGCUCCUUCUGAGAUUGAUUUUCCUGUUGAAUAAUGUUAACGUUGGUAAAGCCCAAUUUGGAAGCAGGAACAAGCUCAUGAUUGAUAUGCAGGCCAGCAACUGGGUAUUUGGCAUAGCUAUUGGGGUAAAGUUUACUCCUGACUCCAUUCUGCCAACGUUCAUCCCAUGGAUCACUGAUGGAGAGCUGAAAUAAGUGUUAAGGUCUGAUGAAGGUGGGUAGAGAGCUGGCAGGAUAAUGGAGGUCCAUGAGGAAAGCAGUUGGCUCAGGACAGCUGGGGAUGCCCCAUAUGACUCCAUGAUAACUGAAGCUCAAUACUUACAAAUCAACAAAGUAUGGAAGAAGUUCAAGCUCUUAGAAAUAACACUCUUAAUACAAACUGGCUCAGAUUCUAUUUUUGUUUCAUCUACUAACUGGUCUGCUGAAUUAAUAUAACUUAAGUA